rfam:Haemonchus placei strain MHpl1 genome assembly, scaffold: HPLM_scaffold0000424
GGCCCAAAUUAGAAGUAGAGUAGGUUAGUAUUGUCAGCUGGUCCUACUAAUCUACUCUGCUUCAAAUUUGGGCCC